rnacentral:pre_miRNA from 1 species
GUUAUACUUCCUCCGUCCAACAAAAGAUGUCUCAACUUUAACUAAAUUUGAAUGCAUAUAUACACUAAGUCAUGUCUAGAUACAUCUAAAUUUUGACAAACUUGAGACAUCUUUUGUUGGACGGAGGGAGUAUAUA